rnacentral:rRNA from 1 species
CCCUACGGGGUGCACCAGGCUGGCGGCUAAAUAUAAAGUAGCAACACAGAUGGGGAACCAGGGUUCCUCGGCAGAAGGGGUAAGAUUGAUUUGUGAAUGGAUAUGGAAUGGAGAAAUUGGUGAGGUCAGGAAAAUAGAAGCAUAUACCAACAGGCCAAUAUGGCCGCAGGGAUUAACUUUACCAACAGAUACACCACCUGUGCCUGAAACCCUAAGGUGGGACCUUUUUAUAGGCCCGGCCAAAUUCCGUCCAUACAAUCCGGCGUUUCACCCCUGGGUUUGGCGGGGGGGC